UACGAAGGGGGCUAGCGUUGCUCGGAAUUACUGGGCGUAAAGGGCGCGUAGGCGGCACUGUUAGUCAGGCGUGAAAGUCCUGGGCUCAACCUGGGAACUGCGCUUGAUACGGCAGAGCUAGGAGGAUGGAAGAGGCUCGCGGAAUUCCCAGUGUAGAGGUGAAAUUCGUAGAUAUUCGGAAAGAACACCAGUGGCGAAGGCGGCUCACUGGUCCGGUACUGACGCUGAUGUGCGAAAAGCGUGGGGAGCAAACAGG
rnacentral:rRNA from 1 species